AGAAAACUUCAGCCAUGAAGUCUUACAGGCUAAGCAGGUUGAGCAAGCCGUGGUGGUCCACCAGAGCUGAUGCAGGGAAAGCAGUGGGGGACAGGAAGGUCUGAGGAGUAGGAUUAGCCCCUCUCACCUGAUAAACUGAGCAACAUCAUCAAACUGUAUGUGACUUCUGCUGGUGGAGCCUGUACUGAGUCUCUCUUUAUAUGUUUGCAUAAUUCUGUCAUUGGGCACUCAGACGCUCUCAAGUGGGAGUGAGAGGAAGAGGUUACCUGAUCAAUCAGGUAUUUCCUUCAGCUGCAGUUCUUUUUCCUACAGGAAACUCUGGCUUGUAUAAACCACUCAAGAAGCAAACAUCAAAGGACUCCUCUAUCACUUAGUGGGGGUAAUAGACUGUACUUGAACUCUACUCAGUGAAGUGAAACUUCUUAAACUGAGAGCUGAAGUUAAAUUUGUUAUUCCUGGCAAACUGCCCAAGAGGAAAUGGAUCCAGGGCAGAAGUUUGUUUGUUAGAUAGCAGUGAGAGAUUGACACUUUUAUAAUAAGCCACAAAAGCAGAAAGAAUAGAAAGUAGUUGCUGAAACUACUGAUUAUUCUCAGAUCUGCUCUUAAUGCUGCAUCAGUUACAAGAUUUCCUUUUAGUAAUUGUCAAAUAAUGGAAAUCAGAAACCAUGAAACAUCAGUAAGAAGGAUUUUGAGCAAAGAUUCUGCACAUGAGUCUGAUUCAAAAGGAGGAUAAAACACAUAAUCAGCUGCAGCAGGUCCUUUGCAUACAGUAGUUGUUACCUCACAAACAGACUGGGAUCCUUCACUAAGGACACAAGGUACUGAGUGCCAGUUCCGUCCCCACUUUCAGUCCAUUGUAUGCCCAUACCCUGCCCACCAGUGUCAAAAAUGUGGUGCAAGGAGCUCUCAGUUGUUUGACAAGAUUCUCACCCAAUAGCUGUAAUGAUCAAAUCUACAGCAACUCUGUGUGAAAACAGAGGAACGGGGCUGAUGGAGAAAGUUCAGUUCUUCAAAGCUAAGAUAGCUGCAAACAGACACCAUUAAUCAUCCCUCUGCCAAGAUCUUCUUCCCACACCAGGCUUUACUGUACAUUCCUUGCAUUUCCAUACCAUGAUGUCAGUCCAGCAUGGAACAAAGAUAAGAAUGGCUCAAGAUUUUCCUUCAAAUGAUCCCUUUUCUACAAAGCUAUAUAUAAAAUAAAACUUGCCAUGGAAUUUGGAAA